AUUGAACGCUGGCGGCAUGCCUUACACAUGCAAGUCGAACGGCAGCACGGGAGCAAUCCUGGUGGCGAGUGGCGAACGGGUGAGUAAUAUAUCGGAACGUGCCCAGUCGUGGGGAUAACGUAGCGAAAGCUACGCUAAUACCGCAUACGAUCUAUGGAUGAAAGCGGGGGAUCGCAAGACCUCGCGCGAUUGGAGCGGCCGAUAUCAGAUUAGGUAGUUGGUGAGGUAAAGGCUCACCAAGCCGACGAUCUGUAGCUGGUCUGAGAGGACGACCAGCCACACUGGGACUGAGACACGGCCCAGACUCCUACGGGAGGCAGCAGUGGGGAAUUUUGGACAAUGGCGCAAGCCUGAUCCAGCAAUGCCGCGUGCAGGAU
rnacentral:rRNA from 1 species